AUUAAUAAUAAUAAAAAAAAAAGCACGCCCGAUCUCGGAAGCUAAGCAGGGUCGGUCCUGGUAAAUACUUGGAUGGGAGACCGCCUGGGAAUACCAGGUGCUGUAAGCU
rnacentral:rRNA from 1 species